CCAGACUCCUACGGGAGGCAGCAGUGGGGAAUUUUGGACAAUGGGCGCAAGCCUGAUCCAGCCAUGCCGCGUGUCUGAAGAAGGCCUUCGGGUUGUAAAGGACUUUUGUUAGGGAAGAAAAGGAUAGUGUUAAUACCAUUAUCUGCUGACGGUACCUAAAGAAUAAGCACCGGCUAGCUACGUGCCAGCAGCCGCGGUAAUACGUAGGGUGCGAGCGUUAAUCGGAAUUACUGGGCGUAAAGCGAGCGCAGACGGUUUAUUAAGCAAGAUGUGAAAUCCCCGAGCUUAACUUGGGAACUGCGUCUUGAACUGGUAAGCUAGAGUAUGUCAGAGGGGGGUAGAAUUCCACGUGUAGCAGUGAAAUGCGUAGAGAUGUGGAGGAAUACCGAUGGCGAAGGCAGCCCCCUGGGAUAAUACUGACGUUCAUGCUCGAAAGCGUGGGUAGCAAACAGGAUUAGAUACCCUGGUAGUCCACGCCCUAAACGAUGUCAAUUAGCUGUUGGGCAGCUUGACUGCUUAGUAGCGAAGCUAACGCGUGAAAUCGACCGCCUGGGGAGUACGGUCGCAAGAUUAAAGCUCAAAGGAAUUGACGGGGGCCCCGCACAAG
rnacentral:rRNA from 1 species